GGAGAGGUGUCCGAGUGGUUUAAGGAGCUGGUCUUGAAAACCAGUGUCUCCGCAAGGGGCCGUGGGUUCGAAUCCCACCCUCUCCGCCA
rnacentral:tRNA from 1 species